rnacentral:misc_RNA from 1 species
CCGAAUCGUCGACACGAGUUGUUGCUGGUCCUCACGGGGGCACGUGCACGCUCUGUUCACACAUCCACUCACACCUGUGCACCUUCUGUGGUUCUGCGGUUUGGGGGACGGCGUCUUCCACCGUGGUUCCACGUCUUUACACACACACUGUAAUAAAGUCUCAUGGGAUGUAUGUCGCGUGUAACGCAAUACAAUA